ensembl:lncRNA
GUUGAACUUUUAUGAAUUUUUCAGAAUCACUACUGAAACAUGAUAAAAGUUUAAUAGGACUAAAAAUACUUGCAGCUCACAGGAGGACCUAGGAGUUACAGAAUGUCAUCCAAAACCUCCAAGGAAAUGGUGGGUUGGUAGGAAGGUUUGCCUUUUUAGGAAAAUAAUGCGGACAUCAUGUAAGAAGUGAGUGGAAUUUUGGUUGUUUGGUUGGAAGAUGGGUAGGUGUGAUGGUUGGUAGGUAGGUAAGUUGGUUGGUUGGUUGGUAUGUAGGUAAGUUGGUUGGUUGGUAGGUUGUUUGGAUGGUAGGUAGGUAAGUUGGAUGGCAUGGUAGGUUGGAUGGUUGUGGUUGGUAGGUAGGUAAGUUGGGUGGUAGGAAGGUAGGUAGGUAGUUUGGUUGGUUGAAUGGACAGUUGGUUGGUUGCUAGGAAAGUAGGUAGGUAGGUAAGUUGGUAGGUUGUUUGGAUGGUAGGUUGGUUGGUUGGUUGGUAGGAAAGUUGGUUGGUUGGUUGGUAGGAAGGUAAAUUGGUUGGUUGGAAGGUAUGUACUUCUAUUCUGAUUUAUCCUUUCCUUGCAUAACCGAGGAAUCGUACAUCUUUUAUGAAGCAUGUCAGGAAAAAGCUUUGCAGUUACAUUUUUACAUGACACAUCCCACACACAUCCCACACACACACACACUUUCUGUAUUUCCUACAGGGCAUAUGAAGACACAGACACACUGAAACAGAUUCACAAAGUAAAACCUGAUUAAAGGCAUAACGCAGAAUAAUUGAUGACCUGAGCUCAAAAAAGCAAAGCAGUCCAGAAGGUUCAGUAUGUUCAAUACGGAUUACAGAUUAUAAUCCUCAAAUA